rnacentral:rRNA from 1 species
UUGAUCAUGGCUCAGAUUGAACGCUGGCGGCAGGCCUAACACAUGCAAGUCGAGCGGUAACAGGGGAAGCUUGCUUCCCGCUGACGAGCGGCGGACGGGUGAGUAAUGUAUGGGGAUCUGCCCGAUAGAGGGGGAUAACCACUGGAAACGGUGGCUAAUACCGCAUAAUCUCUUAGGAGCAAAGCAGGGGAACUUCGGUCCUUGCGCUAUCGGAUGAACCCAUAUGGGAUUAGCUAGUAGGUGGGGUAAUGGCUCACCUAGGCGACGAUCCCUAGCUGGUCUGAGAGGAUGAUCAGCCACACUGGGACUGAGACAUGGCCCAGACUCCUACGGGAGGCAGCAGUGGGGAAUAUUGCACAAUGGGCGCAAGCCUGAUGCAGCCAUGCCGCGUGUAUGAAGAAGGCCCUAGGGUUGUAAAGUACUUUCAGUCGGGAGGAAGGCGUUGAUGCUAAUAUCAUCAACGAUUGACGUUACCGACAGAAGAAGCACCGGCUAACUCCGUGCCAGCAGCCGCAGUAAUACGGAGGGUGCAAGCGUUAAUCGGAAUUACUGGGCGUAAAGCGCACGCAGGCGGUUGAUUAAGUUAGAUGUGAAAUCC